UACGUAGGGUGCAAGCGUUAAUCGGAAUUACUGGGCGUAAAGCGUGCGCAGGCGGCUUUGCAAGACAGAUGUGAAAUCCCCGGGCUCAACCUGGGAACUGCAUUUGUGACUGCAUGGCUGGAGUGCGGCAGAGGGGGAUGGAAUUCCGCGUGUAGCAGUGAAAUGCGUAGAUAUGCGGAGGAACACCGAUGGCGAAGGCAGGUCUCUGGGCUGACACUGACGCUCAUGCACGAAAGCGUGGGGAGCAAACAGG
rnacentral:rRNA from 1 species